CUAGAAUUAUGUUCACAUUGCUACGGUGCAGAGAUAUUAACACUUAUUGCCAGUUUAACCUGAUGAACACUACAAGAACUGGAUAUACAGUUCUGAAUGGAGAAAGGAAGAGAAGAACUGUCUUUAUCACACAUGACCUUCCAAAGAGUCUCAAAUUUACCCCCUUCAGAGUACAUCAGAUUGCUGCAGGGUAUGAAGAAACAAAAACAAAAAAAGGAGGGGGGACUGUCAAGAACUACUGAAAAGAAAAAAGU
rnacentral:lncRNA from 1 species